rnacentral:rRNA from 1 species
AUGGCGACCACCGACCACAUCUCGUCGCCGCCGCAGCCGGCGUCGCCGGGCGUUGGCGCCGUCGCCCUCUCGUCCGCCGUCGGCGAGCUACUCCGCUUCGUCCUCUCCUCCCACGUCGCCACCCCGGACCCGGCCCUCCCUCUGUCCCUCUCCUAUUGCUCCCGCCUCCUCGAAGACGACCUGUGCGAUAAGCUGGCCACGGAGCUUGCGGGGUGCGCCGAGGAGGGGCGGAUCCCGAGACCCCCAGUGGUAGCGGGGGCGGUAGGAACUCCUGCGGAGGAGAAUGAUUCGCGUAAGAGGGAGGGGGAGUGGGAGGCGGUCCUGCGCGAGAAGGGCGCCGAGUUAAAGCGGAUUUAUGAUGCAGUCGAGUUUGUGCUACAUGUUCAAGAACCAUACUUCACUCAACUCAGUGCUGGAUCCAAGAACGUUGAAGGGAGGUUAGCAGCUGGUAAUUACAACAGGAUUACACAAGGUUCUUUGUUGCUCUUCAAUAAAUGCCUCUUGCUUGAGGUUGAGGCAGUUAGAAAGUACAGUUCGUUCUCUGAGAUGCUGCAAACAGAGACGAUCUCAAAUGUCCUUCCUGGUAUUUCGUCAAUUGAAGAAGGUGUCGAAGUUUAUAGAAAAUUCUACACAGAGGAAAAGGAGAACUCUUAUGGAGUCUUGGCAAUAUCUGUCUCAAAGCUGCAAAUCCAACCUUACAUAACCAUGACCGAGCUUCUUGCUGGAUUGGGCUACGAUGGACUAGGUAGACUCCUUGGUUUGGCAAACACAUCAGGAACAGUUCCAGAUGGACUGCCUCCUCCAAAAUCCAUGUUGAUUUCAUCUUGUAUGAAACUACACAAACCAACGGUGAAAAGUUGUUCUUUAACUGAUGCUGCAAGGGCAUUGGCCAAACAUGUUCACAGGAGUAGGGAUGGGUGGUGGGGCUGCCUCCAUGGAAGUGAUCCAAAGAAGAAUCAAAUUUCGUCCGAAGUCAUUGACCGUUUGUUACGUGAGGGCUGUUGGAUAAAUAUUCAUCUGACACAGCCCAAUAGGCCUGUUUUUGAAAUUCGUGUGCAUGAAGGUUAUGGUGCCCGAUGGUCUCAUGAUGGUUUGAAGUUCAUUGGAUUCUUGGAGCCUUACACUCCAGAUGGCUUUCUCAACGGUUGGAAACACUAG